rnacentral:rRNA from 1 species
GACGAACGCCGGCGGCGUGCUUAACACAUGCAAGUCGAACGAUGAAGCCGGAGCUUGCUCUGGCGAAUUAGUGGCGAACGGGUGAGUAACACGUGAGUAACCUGCCCUUGACUCUGGGAUAACUGCGGGAAACUGUAGCUAAUACCGGAUACGACCCUCGGAGGCAUCUCCUGGGGGUGGAAAGAAUUUCGGUCAAGGAUGGACUCGCGGCCUAUCAGCUAGUUGGUGAGGUAAAGGCUCACCAAGGCGACGACGGGUAGCCGGCCUGAGAGGCGGACCGGCCACACUGGGACUGAGACACGGCCCAGACUCCUACGGGAGGCAGCAGUGGGGAAUAUUGCACAAUGGGCGCAAGCCUGAUGCAGCAACGCCGCGUGAGGGAUGACGGCCUUCGGGUUGUAAACCUCUUUUAGCAGGGAAGAAGCGAAAGUGACGGUACCUGCAGAAAAAGCACCGGCUAACUACGUGCCAGCCGCCGCCGUAA